rnacentral:misc_RNA from 1 species
GUAACAAGGUCUCCGUUGGUGAACCAGCGGAGGGAUCAUUACCGAGUUUACAACUCCCAAACCCCAAUGUGAACGUUACCAAUCUGUUGCCUCGGCGGGAUUCUCUUGCCCCGGGCGCGUCGCAGCCCCGGAUCCCAUGGCGCCCGCCGGAGGACCAACUCCAAACUCUUUUUUUCUCUCCGUCGCGGCUCCCGUCGCGGCUCUGUUUUAUUUUUGCUCUGAGCCUUUCUCGGCGACCCUAGCGGGCGUCUCGAAAAUGAAUCAAAACUUUCAACAACGGAUCUCUUGGUUCUGGCAUCGAUGAAGAACGCAGCGAAAUGCGAUAAGUAAUGUGAAUUGCAGAAUUCAGUGAAUCAUCGAAUCUUUGAACGCACAUUGCGCCCGCCAGUAUUCUGGCGGGCAUGCCUGUCCGAGCGUCAUUUCAACCCUCGAACCCCUCCGGGGGGUCGGCGUUGGGGAUCGGCCCCUCACCGGGCCGCCCCCGAAAUACAGUGGCGGUCUCGCCGCAGCCUCUCCUGCGCAGUAGUUUGCACACUCGCACCGGGAGCGCGGCGCGGCCACAGCCGUAAAACACCCCAAACUUCUGAAAUGUUGACCUCGGAUCAGGUAGGAAUACCCGCUGAACCUAAGCAUAU